rnacentral:lncRNA from 1 species
CUGCUGGGUUGCAGGUGCUCAGUAAUUGUGUUUUUAAGGGAAAUUAACAGGUUGCCUUGAAUAAUAAUAUACAUGUUUUGGGCAUCUUCUUAGAGAAGGUAGUAUCAGUAUGCUGUGAAUAUCAGUAUAUUAGCUUUGAUCAGUCCUCAAAGUUGAGAGCAAUAGGUCAAAACAUUUUCAAAAUCCUUUUCAAAAUAUAGUAAAGAAGACUCCUUUCAUCUUAAUUUUUUAAAGUAAAGUGAUAAUUUGACAUAUAAUAAAAAGAGCCACUAAAUUUAUUAUAGAAAUGAUUGAAUGUAGAAAGAUUAUACACUGAAUAGCCCGCGAACCAGAUUUGUCAGGAAGGGAUUGUAAGGAUCACAGAGUUACAACUGGAUGCUAAACACUGACUGAAUUAAUUGCCCCCUCAAUGAGGGCAUAAGGUUAGCUUUCAACCGUAUGCCAUAAUUAUUUUAACGAUUUUUUUUUCUUACCUGGAAGAUGUAUGAAGUAUAACUAAAAAGCAAUAAAAACUUUCACAUUAAAACCAGAAUCAUUACUUUGUAGUGAAAGAGCAGUCAUAAUUUCCUCCUUUUAAAUUUUUAUCCCUUUCUCUGUUCUCUUCGUUCUCUCUGCUCUAACCCCUUCCUUUGCAUGAGUUUACAUGUCUUGUGAUAUUUUUCUUUCUCCCUCAGAGCACAGAUACAAUUUCCUGUGUGGCACUCAGUAUCUACAAGACCUAAGAUGUGCCUAAAGAGGUAUGGUACUAUUUUGAGUAGAACAGAGAGGAAGGAAGGAAUUGCAACCUUGGUGCCAACCUACGGUGGCACUCUACUGCCAGCCAUUGAUGUCCCAGGACCUCAACUCACCUGCAGGAUGUACACAGAGGAAUAAAGAAGAAGAAAAUUAUGAGUAAAUAAAUGGAAAAAGAUAAAGGUAGGUAUUAGGAAAAUAAGAUUACAUUGUGACCGGUAUGUAGACUAAAGCAGACAGUCAGUGCGCUGCCACAACUUGCUUGGAUCUUUUGCAUUCCCAGACUCUGUCUCCACAUGUGUUUUUAUUCUCACAUUGACAGCACUGUGUCUUUUUAUUGGAGGGUUGGCCUUGGACUGCCAGAAUCUACUUUGUUCCACUAUGGUAGAAGUAUUUGGGGCUUAUAUCCUCCCAGGAGUAGCUCUUAACCAAUCACUGAUAGGUGCACGGGUUUAAAUAUUCCAGCCAUUGUGACUUGAUCAGGAUAAAUCUGAGGUGUGACCCACACUGUUUUCAGAUAUCCUCUCUGGGACAGAGACAAAGUUACCUUCCAUGAAACCUUGCUGUAUAAUAUACCCCUGCUUAGCCUUCUUACAUUACUAGUCCUAUUUCCCUGCAACACAGCCAUGCCCUUAUUUUCCUGGGAAAAUUUUCUAUUAAUUGUGUUCACAUGAGUUGUCUUCUCAGAGUCUGUUUCUGUGGAAUGCAAUUUAAGGCAGAGAUAUAAUAAUAAGAUUUUU